rnacentral:lncRNA from 1 species
AUGACUUGUGUUCCUCCCUAACCCGUGUUGUUCAGUAGUGCUAUUGAGGGUUUUAACUUUGAUUCUAGGAUAGAAGACUCUGCCGUCAGAUGGCGUUGCCUGUUCUUCUCUCCCCAGUUUGCAGAGUUGGAUGUGACCUCAGCACUGGAUAAGGGGAUGGAAUUGUACACCUGGUUGGAUCUACGAUGACCCAAAUGCAAUCUAGUAAGGUUUGGCCAAGUGUGGUGGG